AUGUUGCGCACAGCAUGACGACUGUUACGGAGACCAGAAAAUAGCACACUGUGGAAUUUAUUCUCCGAAAUAUUCCUGGUUUGUCAGCGAAAUAGGAAUAACGUGUAGUAAGUAGAUCUAUAAUCAUUUCUCGUCGUUUUCAGAGGACAAAUCCGGGUUAUUUCGUACAAUGUCAGUUUUAUUUCUCAUGGUCGCGUGGGCCUGAAUAUGUAGUUUGUUUUAUUUAGGCCUAUGUAUUUAUGGAAAAGAAGUUAAGGCAAUAUCAUAAUGCAUCUAUACACGAAGUAUGAAGCAUACAGGUGUUCCACCUUCUAAAAUAUAAAGUAAAUUACUUAACGCCGCCGCCGCCGUCGGAUCGAUAUCCCUAUGUCGAACAUAGUUGCGACAGAAUUCGCAGGCUAUAGAAAACCCAUAGCCGUAGUGGAUACAAUGGUGUGAUGGCAGCACGAUCGGACACUACAUUCAAAAUACUAUUGUUCAAAAAUCGUGUCAUCAUAAAAGUGCAUGAAAUAUUUGACAUUUGACGUUAUUUAAGCAAAUCAGUUUAUAAAAAAAAAUCAUAGGGUACAAUUAACCAAAUAGAAACACGGUUAUAUCUGGAGUGGAUAAAAACGGAUUUUAUGAUAUUUUAUUACGUUUUCCUACAUGUGUUGAUCUGUGUAGAUGAUUGUACGACAUUUUUGUUGGCAUAUAUAUAGUGACAAAGUAUCUAAAUACAGCGCCUUGAACAUUGUUCAAUAGUAGGGUCGGCAACACUCUACGACAUGUUAGGUUUUACUACAUAUUAGAAAAACUUAUAUAUCUAAAUGAUGUCGAGAUAUAUGACAAUGACAUCAUCUGUGUGUGAUCCUCAUCUGUUGUACAACCAAAAUGUCAAAAUACCUUCGUGUUUAACAUUUCAAGUAUGCCAAAUCCCGACCAUGGGAGAACUUUAUAACCAUUGGCCCAAUCAACUUGUGAAGGUCGUUAAACACAACCAUCAUCAAACAUGCGGGCAUGCAAAGAAAGAAAUUUCGAUAGGAAAACGAUACAUGUUGAAGGAUUCACAUGCCUUUAUUUUUGUCUGAAAAAAAUAAAGUUUUAUUUUUCUCCUCGGAAUUUCUCCUAAGUUACGAUGGAAGUAUCUAUAAAACUUAUGUAUUCCAUCUAAUUAAUUUGCAGGUGACGCACCAGACGACUUUUGCAGACGCCAUCUUUGUGAAUGCGAUAAGAAAUGCUCUCAAUGCUUUGCAGAAAACCAGGAGUUUUACCAACCAACUUUAGUCAGGAAAGUCCAUAGUGUUGCCAGCCGAC
rnacentral:lncRNA from 1 species